GACGAACGCUGGCGGCGUGCUUAACACAUGCAAGUCGAACGGAAAGGCCCUGCUUUUGUGGGGUGCUCGAGUGGCGAACGGGUGUGUAUCACGUGAGUAACCUGUCCUUGACUUUGGGAUAACUUCAGGAAACUGGGGCUAUUAUCGGAUAGGAGCUUCUGCUGCAUGUUGUGGGUUGGAAAGUUUCGGCGGUUGGGGAUAGACUCGCGGCUUAUCAGCUUGUUGGUGGGGUUGUGGCUUACCAAGGCUUUGACGGGUAGCCGACCUGAGUGGGUGACCGGCCACAUGGGGACUGAGAGACGGCCCAGACUCCUACGGGCGGCAGCGGUGGGGAAUAUUGCACAAUGGGCGGAAGCCUGAUGCAGCAGCGCCGCGUGCGGGAUGACGGCCUUCGGGUUGUAAACCGCUUUCGCCUGUGACGAAGCGUGAGUGACGGUAAUGGGUAAAGAAGCACCGGCUAACUACGUG
rnacentral:rRNA from 1 species